GUCCACUGCGGUUCCGCCGUGCCAAGGGGAGCUUGGCUGUUCACGGGCCUCACCUGCUAGCGAGAAGAUAGCUUGGCCGGGCGGCUGAUCUCACCUUGUAAUUCUGACACUGUGUCUCCCGGGCUUGUCGGCUUCAUGACUUGUGCCCAAAGUUUGAUUUCUCGCAGACCAGGAGGACCCAUUGGACCCCCGGGCUGGCUGCAGGGCCCACACCUGGGUUAGACCUCGCACAGGGACGCUGCUGCCACUGUAAUAAAGCGUGCCUACACGCUUCUGAAACUGGUGUAGGAACAACCUCAGUUCUGUGAAAGGCGGACGCAGCAGGACAGAAUCUCCGUGGACAUCUGUCUGGAGGAGCAAUUUUACUGCGACAUUUUAAAGAAACAAAUUUAAUUGAUUUCCAAGGGUGUCCAUCGCGCUUCCUUCACUGCCUUGAUCAUGUCGGGGUCACCACCUGCGGGGGUUUGUCCUGCAGACCCUGACUCAACGACGGAUGAAUAAUGUACACUGACACAGAUCUUAUGCUUGUCAGUCCUGCUGAGCAUCCAGGCCACUUACAGACUCCAAGAAGAGUCCUGUCAGCCACGGCUCUGACUUGUUGGCCCUCCCGGCAUUUAUUUAGCACACAUUUAAUGACAGAAGUCUCAGGCUGGAAACACUCUUUUUGUAGAACAUACAAAUGGACAUUUCUAAGCACAUUGAGGCCUAUAAUGAAAAAUCAAAUAUCCCACAAUGAAAACUAGAAGGAAGCUAUCUGUGAUAAUGCUUUGUGGUGUAUGGAUUCAUCUCACUGACUGAAACCUGAGUUUUGAUUCACCAGAAUCUAUGCAGGGACAUUUUUGUGCUCAUUGAGGCCUACUGUGAAAAACCAAACAUCAGGGGUGGAGCCAAAAAAGCCAAAUAGGAACAGCUCCAGUCUACAGCUCCCAGCAUGAGCCACACAGAAGAUGGAUGAUUUCUGCAUUUCCAACUGAGAAUCUAUGAAGGGACAUCAUUUCUGAGCCCAUUGAGACUUGUAGUGAAAAACCAAGCAUCCCCUGAUAAAUAGGUAGUAGAAACAAACUACCUAUGAAAAUGCUUUUUGAUUUGUGGAUUUAUCUCACAGUGUUAAAUUUUUGAUUUGAUUCAACUGGUUGAAAACAUUCUUUAUGUAGAAUCUAUGAAGAGACGUUUUUGAGCUUAUCGAGAUGUAAGGUGAGAAACUGAAUAUCCCGCUAUGCAAAGUACAAACAAGCUCUCUGUGAAAAUGCUUUGUUAUAUGGGGAUUCUUCUCACUGAAUGGAUCUUGUGUUGUGAUUCACUGGGUUGGAAACACUUUUUUUUAGAAUCUAUGAAGGGACAUUUCCGAGGCCAUCGAGGCCUAUAGUGAACAACAGAAUAUUCUGUGAUAAAAACUAGAAACAACCUACCUGUGAAAACGAUUUGUGAUCUUUGGAUUCAUCUCACCACAUGGAACCUGUGUUUUGAUUCAGCUGGUUGGAAAAACUCUUUUUGUGGAAUCUACCAAAGGAUAUUUCUAAGCCCGUUGAGGCCUAUAUUAAAUUGAUUAUCUCAUGGUUGAAAGCAUUCUUUUUGUAGAAUCUAUGAAAAGACAUUUCUGAGCUUAUUCUGGUUUAUAGAGUAAAACCGAAUAUCCUGAAAUAAAAACUGGAAACUAGGUUGAAAACACAAUUUUUGAAGUAUCUAUGAUGGGACAUAUCGAAGCCCGUUGAGACUUAGUGAAAAACAGAAUAUCCCCUGACAAAAAUUAGAAACAAGCUUUCUGUGAAAAUGUUUUUUGAUGUCUGUAUUUAUCUCACUGAAUGAAAAAUGCAUUUUGAUUCAAGAUGCUGGAAACACUAUUUUUGUAGAAUCUAUGAAGGGAUAUUUCUGAACUCAUUGAAGUCUACAGUGACAAACCGACUAUCCAAUGAUAAAAACUAGAAAUACGCUGUGAAAAAGUUUUAUGAUGUGUGGAUUCUUCUCACUGAAUUAAACCUGCAUUGUAAAUCAUCAGGACUGAAACCUUCUAUUUGUAGAAUCUAUGAAGGAACAUUUAUGAGCCCAUCGAGGCCUGUAUUGAAAAACAAAGGAUCCUGUGGUAAAAACUAGAAACAACCUAAAUAUGGAAAUGCUUUGAGAAAUGUGAUUCAUCUCACAGAGAUGAAUCUUUGUAUUGAUUCAUCAGGUUGGAAACUCUCUUUUUGUGGAAAAUAAAAGGUCUAAAAAGAGACAUAUCUGAGCCCAUUGUGGCCUACAGUGAAAAACUGAAUUUCUUGAACAAACGCUGGAAACCAGCUAUGUGUGAAAAUGCUUUGUGAUGUGUGGGUUUAUCUCACAAAGUUAAACCAUUGUUUUGAUUCAACAUGUUGGAAACACUCUCUCUGUAGAAUCUAUGAAAAAACAUUUCUGAGCUCAUUGAGAAGUAUAGUGAAAAACCACAUAUCCUGAAAUAGAAACUAGAAACAAGAUACGUGUGGAAUGUUUGUGAUGUGUGGAUUCAUCUCACCAAAUGGAACCUGUAUUUUGAUUCACCCAGUUGGAAACACACUUUUUGUAGAAUCUACGAAGGGACAUUUCAGAGCCCAUUGAGGCCUAUUGUGAAAAAUCAAUUAUCCCAUGGUAAAAACUUGAAACAACCUAUCUGUGAAAAUACUUUGUGAUGUAUAGAUUCAUCUCACAAAGUUAAACCAUUGUUUUUAUUCAACACAUUGGAAACACUAUUUUUUAGAAUCUACAAAUAGAAAUUUCUUAGCUUUUUGAGACCUAUAGUAAGAAACUAAUAUCCCACAAUAAAAACUAGAGACAAGCUGUAUGUGAAAAUGUUUUGUGAUGUGUGCAUUCAUCUAACUGAAUGGCACCUGUGUUUUGAUUCACAAGGUUGGAAACACUUUUUGUAGAAUCUACAGAGGUACAUUUCUGAGCCCAUUGAGGCCUACUGUGAAAAACCAAAUAUUCUGUGAUAAAAAUUAGAAACAAGCUAUCUUUGAAAAUGCUUUGGUAUAUGUGGAUUUAUCUCACAGCAUUUAACCUAUGUUUUGAUUCAACAGGUUGGAACGACUUUUUUAGCAGAAUCUAUGACAGUACGUUUCUUUGUCCUUUUAAACCUAUCAUGAAAAACCAAAUUUCCUGUGAUAAAAACCAGAAACAGGGUUUCUGUGAAAAUGCUUUGUGAUGUGUGGAUUCAUCUCACAGACGUUAACCUUUGUUUUGUUUCAACAGGUUCAAAACACUCUUCCUGUAAAAUCUACUUAGGGACAGUCCUGAGCCCAUUGAGGUCUUUAGUAAAAAACGGAAUAUCCCAUGAUAAAAACUAGAAACAAACUAUCUGGGAAAAUGUUUGUGAUGUGUGGUUUCAUAUCACAGAGUAAAACCUUUGUUUUGAUUUAAAACGUUGAAAUCACUCUUUUUGUAGUAUCUAGAAAUGGAUAUUUCUGAACCCGUUGAUGCUUAUAGUAAAAAAUUAAAUUUUCUACAAUAUAAACUAGAAACAAACUAUCCGUGAAAACGUUUUGUAAUAUGUUAAUUCAGC
ensembl:lncRNA LINC00662 long intergenic non-protein coding RNA 662